rnacentral:rRNA from 1 species
CACGGGGGGAGCAAGCGUUGUUCGGAAUCACUGGGCGUAAAGGGCGUGUAGGCGGUCAGGUAAGUGGAAUGUGAAAGCCCUCGGCUCACCCGAGGAUCGGCAUCCCAAACUGCCUGGCUUGAGUAUGGGAGAGGACAGGGGAAUUCCGGGUGUAGCGGUGGAAUGCGUAGAGAUCCGGAAGAACACCGGUGGCGAAGGCGGCCUGCUGGGCAGUAGCUGACGCUGAAGCGCGACAGCGUGGGGAGCAAACAGG